UGCCUCAAGUGGACAGCGCAGGUCAGCGGGCGUGGGGGCGGUGUUCUGUGGGCUGGGGAGGAGGUCAAAGGCAGCGCCUGGCACUGAACAGCCUUCUGACUUUCAUUGCAGUGGUCGCCGAGUUUGGGCGGAUUGCUGUGGAAUUCCUGAGACGCGGCGCAAACCCAAAAAUCUACGAAGGCGCCGCCAGAAAACUCAAUGUGAGUAGUGACACUGUCCAGCAUGGUGUGGAAGGAUUAACGUAUCUCCUCACUGAGAGCUCAAAGCUCAUGAUUUCUGAACUGGAUUUCCAAGACUCUGUUUUUGUUCUGGGAUUCUCUGAAGAAUUAAACAAAUUGUUGCUUCAGCUUUAUCUGGACAACAGAAAAGAGAUCAGAACGAUUCUGAGUGAAUUGGCACCAAGCCUUCCCAGUUAUCAUAACCUUGAAUGGCGACUAGAUGUACAGCUUGCAAGUAGAAGUCUCAGGCAACAGAUUAAACCAGCAGUGACUAUAAAGCUACACCUUAAUCAAAAUGGAGAUCACAACACCAAAGUUCUACAGACAGACCCAGCCACCCUGCUCCAUUUGGUUCAACAACUGGAACAAGCAUUGGAAGAGAUGAAGACAAACCACUGUAGGAGAGUUGUUCGCAACAUCAAGUAGUACCAGUUUUAAGGUUUUAAUUCAUUUGAAUCACUUAUGAAUUGAUGAUAUACAGCAAUUACUUUUCAAAAUUAAUUUUUUAUUAAUUCAUGACA
rnacentral:sRNA from 1 species